rnacentral:rRNA from 1 species
GGGCAGAGAUGCCUUAGUGCCUUCGGGAACCGUGAGACAGGUGCUGCAUGGCUGUCGUCAGCUCGUGUUGUGAAAUGUUGGGUUAAGUCCCGCAACGAGCGCAACCCUUAUCCUUUGUUGCCAGCGGCUCGGCCGGGAACUCAAAGGAGACUGCCGGUGAUAAACCGGAGGAAGGUGGGGAUGACGUCAAGUCAUCAUGGCCCUUACGGCCAGGGCUACACACGUGCUACAAUGGCGCAUACAAAGAGAAGCGACCUCGCGAGAGCAAGCGGACCUCAUAAAGUGCGUCGUAGUCCGGAUUGGAGUCUGCAACUCGACUCCAUGAAGUCGGAAUCGCUAGUAAUCGUAGAUCAGAAUGCUACGGUGAAUACGUUCCCGGGCCUUGUACACACCGCCCGUCACACCAUGGGAGUGGGUUGCAAAAGAAGUAGGUAGCUUAACCUUCGGGAGGGCGCUUACCACUUUGUGAUUCAUGACUGGGGUGAAGUCGUAACAAGGUAGGCGUAGCGAG